rnacentral:rRNA from 1 species
UACGGAGGGUGCAAGCGUUAAUCGGAAUUACUGGGCGUAAAGGGAGCGCAGGCGGUUCAUUCAGUUAGGCGUGAAAGCCCCGGGCUCAACCUGGGAACUGCAUCCGAUACUGGAUCACUAGAAUGCGGGAGAGGGAGGUAGAAUUCCAUGUGUAGCGGUGAAAUGCGUAGAUAUGUGGAGGAAUACCAGUGGCGAAGGCGGCCUCCUGGCUCGACACUGACACUGAGGUGCGAAAGCGUGGGGAGCAAACAGG